UUACGGCCACACCAUGUUGAAAGACCAGUUCCCAUACGAUCACUAAAGUUUAGCAAUAUCGAGCCUGGUCAGUAACUAGAUGAGUGACCGCUUGGGAAUACCAGGUGCUGUAAG
rnacentral:rRNA from 1 species